UACUUAGGGGGCGAGCGUUGUCCGGAUUUAUUGGGCGUAAAGAGCGUGUAGGCGGUUCUGUAAGUCUGUCGUGAAAUCCUGAGGCUCAACCUCGGGCGUGCGAUGGAUACUGCCGGGCUAGAGGGUGGUAGAGGCGAGUGGAAUUCCCGGUGUAGCGGUGAAAUGCGCAGAUAUCGGGAGGAACACCAGUAGCGAAGGCGGCUCGCUGGGCCACACCUGACGCUGAGACGCGAAAGCGUGGGGAGCAAACAGG
rnacentral:rRNA from 1 species